AGUGCAUGUGGUGGAUGCCUUGGCAGUCAGAGGCGAUGAAAGACGUGAUAGCCUGCGAAAAGCUCCGUGGAGGCGGCAAAUAUCCUUUGAUCCGGAGAUGUCUGAAUGGGGGAACCCACCUACUUUAAGGUAGGUAUUGCAACAUGAAUACAUAGUGUUGCAAGGCGAACGAGGGGAAGUGAAACAUCUCAGUACCCUUAGGAAAAGAAAUCAAUUGAGAUUCCCUCAGUAGCGGCGAGCGAACGGGGAUCAGCCCAUUAAGUUAUGUGUGUUUUAGUGGAACGCUCUGGGAAGUGCGAACGUAGAGGGUGAUAUUCCCGUACACGAAAGGGCACACAUAAUGAUGACGAGUAGGGCGAGGCACGUGAAACCUUGUCUGAAUAUGGGGGGACCAUCCUCCAAGGCUAAAUACUUCCUGACUGACCGAUAGUGAACCAGUACCGUGAGGGAAAGGCGAAAAGAACCCCUGUGAGGGGAGUGAAAUAGAUCCUGAAACCGCAUGCAUACAAGCAGUGGGAGCACCUUCGUGGUGUGACUGCGUACCUUUUGUAUAAUGGGUCAGCGACUUAUAUUCAGUAGCGAGGUUAACCCGGUAUAGGGGAGCCGUAGAGAAAUCGAGUCUUAAUAGGGCGUUUAGUUGCUGGGUAUAGACCCGAAACCAGGCGAUCUAUCCAUGAGCAGGUUGAAGGUUGGGUAACACUAACUGGAGGACCGAACCCACUGUCGUUGAAAAGCCAGGGGAUGACUUGUGGAUAGGGGUGAAAGGCUAAUCAAGCCUGGUGAUAGCUGGUUCUCCCCGAAAGCUAUUUAGGUAGCGCCUCGGACGAAUACCAUAGGGGGUAGAGCACUGUUUCGGCUAGGGGGUCAUCCCGACUUACCAAACCGAUGCAAACUCCGAAUACCUAUGAGUACUAUCCGGGAGACAGACUGCGGGUGCUAACGUCCGUAGUCAAGAGGAAAACAAUCCAGACCGCCAGCUAAGGCCCCAAAAUCAUAGUUAAGUGGGAAACGAUGUGGGAAGGCAUAGACAGCUAGGAGGUUGGCUUAGAAGCAGCCACCCUUUAAAGAAAGCGUAAUAGCUCACUAGUCGAGUCGGCCUGCGCGGAAGAUGUAACGGGGCUAAAACUAUGUGCCGAAGCUGCGGAUGUAUACUUUGUAUACGUGGUAGGGGAGCGUUCUGUAAGCCGAUGAAGGUGUGUUGAGAAGCAUGCUGGAGGUAUCAGAAGUGCGAAUGCUGACGUGAGUAACGACAAAACGGGUGAAAAACCCGUUCGCCGAAAGACCAAGGGUUCCAGUCCAACGUUAAUCGGGGCUGGGUGAGUCGACCCCUAAGGCGAGGCCGAAAGGCGUAGUCGAUGGGAAAAUGGUUAAUAUUCCAUUACUUCUGUGUAAUGCGAUGAGAGGACGGAGAAGGCUAAAUCAGCCUGGCGUUGGUUGUCCAGGUGAAAGGAUGUAGGCAUGUAUCUUAGGCAAAUCCGGGGUACUCUAUGCUGAGAUCUGAUAGCAAGCUGUACUUGUACAGCGAAGUGGUUGAUGCCAUGCUUCCAGGAAAAGUCUCUAAGCUUCAGUUACACAGGAAUCGUACCCGAAACCGACACAGGUGGUCAGGUCGAGUAGACCAAGGCGCUUGAGAGAACUCUGCUGAAGGAACUAGGCAAAAUGGUACCGUAACUUCGGGAGAAGGUACGCUGUUGUUGGUGAUGGAACUCGCUUCCUGAGCUGACGACAGCCGCAGAAACCAGGCCGCUGCAACUGUUUAUUAAAAACAUAGCACUCUGCAAACACGAAAGUGGACGUAUAGGGUGUGAUGCCUGCCCGGUGCUGGAAGGUUAAUUGAUGGGGUUAGCGUAAGCGAAGCUCUUGAUCGAAGCCCCAGUAAACGGCGGCCGUAACUAUAACGGUCCUAAGGUAGCGAAAUUCCUUGUCGGGUAAGUUCCGACCUGCACGAAUGGCAUAAUGAUGGCGGCGCUGUCUCCAGCAGAGGCUCAGUGAAAUCGAAAUCGCUGUGAAGAUGCAGUGUACCCGCGGCUAGACGGAAAGACCCCGUGAACCUUUACUGCAGCUUGACACUGAACUUUGACCUUACUUGUGUAGGAUAGGUGGGAGGCUUUGAAGCUGGAACGCUAGUUCCAGUGGAGCCGUCCUUGAAAUACCACCCUGGUAAUGUUGAGGUUCUAACUCUGUCCCGUGAUCCGGGACGAGGACCGUGUCUGGUGGGUAGUUUGACUGGGGCGGUCUCCUCCUAAAGAGUAACGGAGGAGUACGAAGGUGCGCUCAGCGUGGUCGGAAAUCACGCGUAGAGUAUAAAGGCAAAAGCGCGCUUAACUGCGAGACCCACAAGUCGAGCAGGUACGAAAGUAGGUCUUAGUGAUCCGGUGGUUCUGUAUGGAAGGGCCAUCGCUCAACGGAUAAAAGGUACUCUGGGGAUAACAGGCUGAUACCGCCCAAGAGUUCAUAUCGACGGCGGUGUUUGGCACCUCGAUGUCGGCUCAUCUCAUCCUGGGGCUGAAGCAGGUCCCAAGGGUAUGGCUGUUCGCCAUUUAAAGAGGUACGCGAGCUGGGUUUAGAACGUCGUGAGACAGUUCGGUCCCUAUCUACCGUGGGCGCUGGAAAUUUGAGAGGAUCUGCUCCUAGUACGAGAGGACCAGAGUGGACGAACCUCUGGUGUACCGGUUGUGACGCCAGUCGCAUCGCCGGGUAGCUAUGUUCGGAAGGGAUAACCGCUGAAAGCAUCUAAGCGGGAAGCCUACCUCAAGAUAAGAUUUCCCUAGGACUUUAUGUCCUCUAAAGAGCCGUUCGAGACUAGGACGUUGAUAGGUUGGAUGUGGAAGCAUAGUGAUAUGUGAAGCUGACCAAUACUAAUUGCUCGUGAGGCUUGACU
rnacentral:rRNA from 1 species